AAGAGAACAGAAGAAACGCUUAGCACGGCACUGUAAUAAACGUAUAGAGCACGAUUUCCAUUACAACGAAAGAUACAGGAUACCUACUGAUACAGAUGCUGAAGAACGACUAAUGGACGAAGGAAGGCCGCCCCCUAGAUUAUGCACCGUAGUCAAGGUGCCAAGUUUACGGGGGAAAGCGGUUCAUCACCUUCCUGCAAUGUAGAUCAAAGUCAGCACCGAUUUUGUGCGCACACGCCGUUUC